GCGCCCGUAGCUCAAUUGGACAGAGCAGCCGGCUUCUACCCGGUGUUCGUUGCAGGUUCGAGUCCUGCCGGGCGCG
rnacentral:tRNA from 2 species